CUUGGUUCUGGCAUACACAUAAAUAAAGAGACAAACAUGUAUGAUUUGUAGCUCCAAAUUAACCAACUCAAUUAAUUCAACAUGUUUAGUCCUUUAAUCUUUGUUCUUAGUACUACCUUUGUGAUCCCACACUCCUAAUCAUAUAAGCUAAAAUGUUGCACAUUCAAUCUUUGGAAGAUAUAAAGAAAACAUAAAUAUAGAUAGAUUAUCUUUCCAUUAGGUUGAGCCAUCUGAUCUGACAAUUGCUACACUCAUGAUCCAUCAACUUUGUCUUGCUCACUAUGCUUAAGGUUAGAGAAGAACAAAUACACUUUUGGUUCUAUUGGUGUUUUCCACCAACAGGACCCAUGCACUUGAUCUCUACCUUGUCUUUUUGAGCAGGUACACUUCAAGCAAAACAUGGAGGAGUUUUACAACUCCCAGACUCCACCAAGUGAAGGACCUGGAUCUACGAGCACAGACACACUGAGCAGGAUAUUGCAAACACCACAUCUCAAACUGCUAGGCAAACGAAGAACAUGGGUGACAAUGUAUUGAGAGGUGCAGACGUCAAGGUCCACAACUAAUCAAAUGAUGCACCUAAAGGAUGAAGACGGUGAGAAGUCUUGUCCAGAAGACUUAAAACAUUGAUCCUUGUCGGAGGAGGUCAAGAUCGUCGACUCAAGUCGCCUUUCCUGAUCAAGAAGGAUGACCCUGGUGUUCCAAGCAUCGAGUGCACAAUCAAUGGAUACUUUUUUCAAAAGACACUCUACGACACCGGAUCUAACGACAACAUAAUGGCCGCAAUCACUUAUCAGCUCCUGCAUGAAACCAUGCCCCUACAACCAAUAUAUAUUCAGCUCCAGAUGAUUUUUAGGUCAUUGACAUGGGAGACGACGAGUAUGAUCCACCCAUCAUCCUUGGAAGACCGUUCCUCAGCACUAUCAAAGCCAUUAUCUAUAUUGGAACCAGAGAAGUCCACAUGCACUUCCCCUCUGAGAAGGUACGCUGCUAUUUUACUGACCCUAACUAUAUAGUUGAAAGCUCUAAGGAGGUCAGGACAAUAAGAAGACAAUGCAACCGCAACCAGAGGAGGCAAAUCAUCAAGGACAAAUGGGCAGAGUACGAAGGAGAAGUAAUAAGGUCUGAAGACAUACAGCUUGAACAGAACUGUCUUGAGGAGACCGUAGCACCGAGUCAGAUGUGGAAAGAGAAGAUAGUUAUACACGAAGAGGAGGCGCCGCCGAAACCACCGACUACACUAUCCAGCGAAUCCCAGGACGACUGAGAAGACGGAGAGUCCCAUUCGGAGGACUUAAAAAUACCGAACGCCUUGCCAAGAGGUAAACUUGGUAGUUAUCCUUUUUUCUUUCAACUAUUUACAAUAGUUUGCUUAGUUAAUCAGGUUCGUAUCAUCUCGAAAAGAAAAUAAAAAUGUUAAAAAAAUAGUAAGCCCCAUGUGAGUAUGCUCAUGGCAUAAAACCCAUAAGUACAUUCACUGUGGUGGCAUAAAAAUAAAAUAAAUAAGUUUUCAUCUUACAAUAAAAAUAUAAAAAUAAUAAGUGCAUGAUCCUGCUAAAUAAGUAAUAUUUAUUGAGGAGGCUCAACAUGAUAAAGGCUAGAUAUUUAUGCUAACACUUAACCAGUUCCACAAAGCUUUGUUGUCUAUUUGAGCUCCACAGAAUUCAAGGAUAAAAAAAAAGACUAGCAGACGGAGGACAUCCUAAUCGCUGUCAGGGUGCUGCCGACUUUCAAAUACACCUCCACCACCUGCUAGCUACAUCAGAAGAAAUUAUGUCAAAAUCCAGCUUGGGGGAGAGCACCCCCAUUUAUCCAGCUAAGUGUUUCUACUCGCGUUUAUACUUUACUCAAAUAAUAAAAGAUGCAUAAUCAUGAAAACCCAAAUAAAUAUUUUGUGCUUUUAUCUUUGCUUAGUUUCCUAAAUAAAUAAAUAAAUAAAGUUUGCUAUGAACCCUCAUGAUAAACUCUCACAUGGAAAUGAUGAAUAGUUGCUCUGCCAUGACUAGUUCUUAAAAUUGAAAUCACUCUCAUGUUUUGGCAUGACUGUUAUGAAGUAAGAUUUGCUCUAAACCUGAACUUGUGGGAAGAGUACUUGAUCUAAAGUCUAUGUUGUUAACGGAUAUGAUAUCGGAAGGUUGAGCUGCUGUUUAUCAGUUCCUAGAGAUGCUAGAAUUCUGGAGAAUUUUAUCUUUGAAAAAAUCUUUAAAAUAUCACAUGAUGAGUUCCUGUAUGAUGAGAGUUUAAGAUCCUAUCACAGCCAUAUAUACAUGCUUGCUAGACUUUGAGCCACACAUUUACUUUUUACUACUUAUGAGCAUUGAGUGUGGUCAAGCUGUGUAGACCCUUAGGAGCUUGUCAUGUGGUUAAAAUCUAGAUUCACUUGCACGUUCACUCAAACAAGCUACUUCUACUCCGGAAGUACCAUCCACAUAUAUCCACUCAUUUCCAUCUCCAGAACCACCCAAAAACAUUCUACUCCAGAUCCGGGAAAGAAUGGCCAAAAAUAUUUCUGUUUUUCCCUAUGGAAUAAAUGCUCCAGUUAUUUUGGUUACUACCACUUGCUACAUUCUUUCGGGAGAUGAGUGCUCUAAAAAAAGAGAAAAAAUAAUACGAGGAAAUAAAAAGGGGCAAGUGCUCGGAACCUCGAAGAAAAGAAAAAGUGAGACGAGAGGUAAAAAAGGACAAGUGUCCAACAGUAGAAUUAGGGGUACAAGAUACCCACCUGAGAGGAAAGAAAAAGAAAAUAUAGAGCAUCUCAUUCUCUCCAAAAAGCUUCAAAGUGCAAGAAAGGUAUGUAUCCCCUUAAAAGAGCAAAAAUAGAAUUAGACUUUCACCAUUGUUAUCACCAUCAUCACCAUACACCAUUCAUUCACCACACAUGCACAUCUUGAUUUGACUUAUUGACUUGUUUCUCUGGAUCCAUGGUUUGACUAUGCAAUAAAUGUCUUGUAAGUAUGUAUUAGGUGUCUCCCACCUAUGAGCUCCAGAUAUCAAAACCUUAUUAGGUGUCUCCCACCUAUGAGCUCCAGAUAUCAAAACCUCACACCAAAAAUACCACAUAUUUUGAGAGAAGGCAUAUACUAUUACUGCCUUGGUAAGGAUCCAAAAUACCACAAAAGAGAGAUUUGAGAGAAUCAUAUAAGGAAUCUCUGAGUUUUAUUUGGAAAUCUGCAAAAACUCCAGAGCUAUAGCUGAUCAAGAAUAAGAGACAUGGCGCUUGACUUGACCGUUCUAUCUUUUAACUGCUCAAGAGACAAGUGACGGUUACAAGCUCCAUGGUGAAAGGUAAAAUGAGUAAGUUUUAAGUCUUAACAUUUUAUUUUAACUCAGAGAUGAGAUCUUGCUUGAAUGCGUGUGUACUUUUAAGGCAUGAAACUACUGCAGAAACUCUUGAGUUCAUCUUUGCUCAGGGACGAGUAAGAGGUAAGCUUGGGGGAGUUGUUGACGGUCCUUAAGUACCAAAUAUAAUCAUCAAAUAAAUAAAGAAAAGGAUCUACAUGCAACCAACACCCAGACUUAGGGUUUUAACUGACAAAAUUCCAUGAGUUUUGGUGUUUGUCUAUUUCUGCAGGGGGUUAUUAGGAAAUACGGAAGAAAGGCCCACAUGUCGGGAUUACAUAGAGAUAUCAACGCACCGUGCAAUUUUCUACCAUCUAGAAGACUCCAGAAGCCACGGGAAGAAAGCAGAGGCCGAAAGGGGCUGGGCCCAGGGCUCCCACCCUCCUUCCCUGGGCGCCCGCCCCCCUCUGGAAGCCAUUCAGGACUCUCUUCGCACACGAUGUUCCACCGACCUAAAGGAUCAAGGAUAACAUAGUACCACAUCGCCUACCGACCCAAAAAUGCAUAGAGGAGGAGGACUAUAUAAGGAGACCCCCUGGCCCCUGGAGAAGACAAGAAGUUAUCAUAGAGUUGAGGGGUGCCCUCGAAGGAAAACCUCUUCUCUAAAUAGAAUUUCUUUUUAGGCUUAGCAACCAAUGUGAGUAGAAAUAGAUCUUCUAGUUUCUACUAGAUUGAGAGAUAUAGAGAGGAGGUGC
rnacentral:lncRNA from 1 species